rnacentral:misc_RNA from 1 species
GAAGAAGAGAGGAAGAAGAGAGAGAGUGAUGAAAACAAAGCAACAAAUGAAGAAUCAGGAAUAAAAGAAGCAGAAGUUUCACAAAUGCAAAAGAUGAGCAAUGGUGAUAUUAAGAAAAAAGAGUAGAUAUGAGAAUUAAUCAGGAACAAAUAAAAUAUUGAAAUGCUUUAGAAUUUCAAUUUUGUGGAUUUGGGAGGGCACUGAACUGAAUGAAUGGCUGUCAUAGUUGCAAGUAAUAUAAUUUAAUAACUUGUUUGUAGAAAAAUUAUGGUGAUGAGAAUGUUCAAAAUCCUUUUAUUCUGGUCCAAAUCGAAUGGUUUGUAUUCAACUCUCAAUCUGUGAAAAACAAUCUCUCAUGUGAAGUGUUCAUAUGUUCUAA